rnacentral:rRNA from 1 species
AGAGUUUGAUCAUGGCUCAGAUUGAACGCUGGCGGCAGGCCUAACACAUGCAAGUCGAGCGGUAGCACAGAGAGCUUGCUCUCGGGUGACGAGCGGCGGACGGGUGAGUAAUGUCUGGGAAACUGCCUGAUGGAGGGGGAUAACUACUGGAAACGGUAGCUAAUACCGCAUAACGUCGCAAGACCAAAGUGGGGGACCUUCGGGCCUCAUGCCAUCAGAUGUGCCCAGAUGGGAUUAGCUAGUAGGUGGGGUAAUGGCUCACCUAGGCGACGAUCCCUAGCUGGUCUGAGAGGAUGACCAGCCACACUGGAACUGAGACACGGUCCAGACUCCUACGGGAGGCAGCAGUGGGGAAUAUUGCACAAUGGGCGCAAGCCUGAUGCAGCCAUGCCGCGUGUAUGAAGAAGGCCUUCGGGUUGUAAAGUACUUUCAGCGAGGAGGAAGGCNNNGAUUGACGUUACUCGCAGAAGAAGCACCGGCUAACUCCGUGCCAGCAGCCGCGGUAAUACGGAGGGUGCAAGCGUUAAUCGGAAUUACUGGGCGUAAAGCGCACGCAGGCGGUCUGUCAAGUCGGAUGUGAAAUCCCCGGGCUCAACCUGGGAACUGCAUUCGAAACUGGCAGGCUAGAGUCUUGUAGAGGGGGGUAGAAUUCCAGGUGUAGCGGUGAAAUGCGUAGAGAUCUGGAGGAAUACCGGUGGCGAAGGCGGCCCCCUGGACAAAGACUGACGCUCAGGUGCGAAAGCGUGGGGAGCAAACAGGAUUAGAUACCCUGGUAGUCCACGCCGUAAACGAUGUCGACUUGGAGGUUGUGCCCUUGAGGCGUGGCUUCCGGAGCUAACGCGUUAAGUCGACCGCCUGGGGAGUACGGCCGCAAGGUUAAAACUCAAAUGAAUUGACGGGGGCCCGCACAAGCGGUGGAGCAUGUGGUUUAAUUCGAUGCAACGCGAAGAACCUUACCUACUCUUGACAUCCAGAGAACUUAGCAGAGAUGCUUUGGUGCCUUCGGGAACUCUGAGACAGGUGCUGCAUGGCUGUCGUCAGCUCGUGUUGUGAAAUGUUGGGUUAAGUCCCGCAACGAGCGCAACCCUUAUCCUUUGUUGCCAGCGGUUAGGCCGGGAACUCAAAGGAGACUGCCAGUGAUAAACUGGAGGAAGGUGGGGAUGACGUCAAGUCAUCAUGGCCCUUACGAGUAGGGCUACACACGUGCUACAAUGGCAUAUACAAAGAGAAGCGACCUCGCGAGAGCAAGCGGACCUCAUAAAGUAUGUCGUAGUCCGGAUUGGAGUCUGCAACUCGACUCCAUGAAGUCGGAAUCGCUAGUAAUCGUAGAUCAGAAUGCUACGGUGAAUACGUUCCCGGGCCUUGUACACACCGCCCGUCACACCAUGGGAGUGGGUUGCAAAAGAAGUAGGUAGCUUAACCUUCGGGAGGGCGCUUACCACUUUGUGAUUCAUGACUGGGGUGAAGUCGUAACAAGGUAACCGUAGGGGAACCUGCGGUUG